AGCUUUGCAGGGUAGCAGUUUCAUAGUCAAUGAGGUUUAUCUGAGGCACAAUUAUUGCUAAUUGAAAACUUAAAAUAAUGUGUCUC
rnacentral:snRNA from 1 species